rnacentral:tRNA from 1 species
CUCUAGCUGGUCUAGGGGCUAGGACUCCUGGUUUUCACUCAGGCUACCCAGGUUCAAUUCCUGGGCAGGGAA